rnacentral:rRNA from 1 species
CGAACGGGUGAGUAAUGCGUGACCAACCUGCCCCAUGCUCCAGAAUAGCUCUUGGAAACGGGUGGUAAUGCUGGAUGCUCUAACUUGACGCAUGUCUUGUUGGGAAAGUGUUUAGUGGCAUGGGAUGGGGUCGCGUCCUAUCAGCUUGUAGGCGGGGUAAUGGCCCACCUAGGCUUCGACGGGUAGCCGGCCUGAGAGGGCGGACGGCCACAUUGGGACUGAGAUACGGCCCAGACUCCUACGGGAGGCAGCAGGC